AGCAGCCGCGGUAAUACGAAGGGACCUAGCGUAGUUUGGAAUUACUGGGCUUAAAGAGUUCGUAGGUGGUUGAAAAAGUUGGUGGUGAAAUCCCAGAGCUUAACUCUGGAACUGCCAUCAAAACUUUUCAGCUAGAGUAUGAUAGAGGAAAGCAGAAUUUCUAGUGUAGAGGUGAAAUUCGUAGAUAUUAGAAAGAAUACCAAUUGCGAAGGCAGCUUUCUGGAUCAUUACUGACACUGAGGAACGAAAGCAUGGGUAGCGAAGAGGAUUAGAUACCCUCGUAGUCCAUGCCGUAAACGAUGUGUGUUAGACGUUGGAAAUUUAUUUUCAGUGUCGCAGCGAAAGCGAUAAACACACCGCCUGGGGAGUACGACCGCAAGGUUAAAACUCAAAUGAAUUGACGGGGACCCGCACUAGUAGUGGAGCAUGUGGUUUAAUUCGAAGAUACGCGCAGAACCUUACCAACACUUGACAUGUUCGUCGCGACUUUAUGAGAUUGAAGUUUUCGGUUCGGCCGGACGAAACACAGGUGCUGCAUGGCUGUCGUCAGCUCGUGUCGUGAGAUGUUGGGUUAAGUCCCGCAACGAGCGCAACCCUCACUUUUAGUUGCCAUCAUUUAGUUGGGCACUCUGAAAGAACUGCCAGUGAUAAGCUGGAGGAAGGUGGGGAUGACGUCAAGUCCUCAUGGCCCUUACGUGUUGGGCUACACACGUGCUACAAUGGUAUCUACAACAGGAAGCAAGACGGCGACGUUAAGCAAAUCCUUAAAAGAUACCUCAGUUCGGAUUGCACUCUGCAACUCGAGUGCAUGAAGCUGGAAUUACUAGUAAUCGUGGAUCAGCGUGCCACGGUGAAUGCGUUCCCGGGUCUUGUACACACCGCCCGUCACACCAUGGGAGUUGGUUCUACCUUAAGGCAAGGUUUCAAACCCUUGACCACGGUAUAGUCAGCGACUGGGGUGAAGUCGUAACAAGGUAGCCG
rnacentral:rRNA from 1 species